GCUUGUCUCAAAGAUUAAGCCAUGCAUGUCUCAGCAUAAGCUUCAACACGGUGAAACUGCAAAUGGCUCAUUAAAGCAGUUACAAUUUAUUUGAUGGUCACUGUUACAUGGAUAACUGUGGUAAUUCUAGAGCUAAUACAUGCGUCAAGACCUGACUUUUCGGAAGGGUUGUGUUUAUUAGAUAAAAAGCCAAUCCAUGCUCUGCAUGGUAUUGUGGUGACUCAUAAUAACCGAUCGAAUCGCAUGGCGUAAGCCGGCGAUAAAUCAUUCAAGUUUCUGACCUAUCAGCUUCCGACGGUAGGGUAUUGGCCUACCGUGGCUAUGACGGGUAACGGGGAAUUAGGGUUCGAUUCCGGAGAGGGAGCCUGAGAAACGGCUACCACAUCUAAGGAAGGCAGCAGG
rnacentral:rRNA from 1 species